rnacentral:misc_RNA from 1 species
AACGCACAUUGCGCCCCCUGGUAUUCCGGGGGGCAUGCCUGUUCGAGCGUCAUUUCACCACUCAAGCCUCGCUUGGUAUUGGGCAACGCGGUCCGCCGCGUGCCUCAAAUCGACCGGCUGGGUCUUCUGUCCCCUAAGCGUUGUGGAAACUAUUCGCUAAAGGUGGUUCGGGAGGCUACGCCGUAAAACAACCCCAUUUCUAAGGUUGACCUCGGAUCAGGUAGGGAUACCCGCUGAACUUAA